CUGGGUGCCUGGGUGGCUCAGUCCCUUAAGCGACACCCUGUUGAUUUCAGUUCAGGUCAUGAUGUCACAGUUGGUGAGUUUGAGGCCUGCGCCCAGCUCAGUGCUUACAAUGCAGAGCCUGAGCGCUACUUUCCCCGCUCCCUCUCUGCCCCUCCCCCACUGGCCCUCUCCCUUUGAAAAUAAAUAAGUGAACUUAAAAAAAAAAAUCUUAAAAAAAUAAAAAAGAAAAGGAAUGAAUUACCGAUAAACACAACUUGGAUGGGUCUCCCGCGCAUUGUGGUGAGGAAGCAAAAACAAACCAAAAAACUAACCCAUUGUGUACGUUCUGUUUGAAUGACAAAAUUAUAAAGAUGGAAAAUGGUUUAGUGAUUGCCAUGGGUUAGGGAGGGGAAGGGGAGAGCAACGCAGUGAGUGACUAUAAAGGGUAGCCUGAGGAAGAUCUUUGUGGUGUCGAAAUAGCUCCGCGUCCUGAAUUGCUGAGGACACAGAUUUACACGAGUCAAAUAGCAACCAUACACGCACUACGACGAAGCCAAAUUCCUGGAUUUGAUUUUGUACUCUAAUUCUGUGAGAGGCAACCUAACAGGAAGCCGCGAAGGGCACCUGGAGCUUCUUGGCAAUACUUUGGUAACAUCCCGUGACUCCAUGUGAAGCGUAAGCACCUGACAGGUGGCGGUUUGGACCGGAAGGCCAAGUUUCUUUUGUUUCUUUUGUUGAGCGGUCCCUGGUUUGACUGCUCCUUUUUCCUGCGUGGCUUUCCUCAUUGGUUUCUCCCUUCUAGCUCUUUGACGCUGGCGCUUUAAUUUUCGCGCUUCUGUUUUAAAGUCACCAAUACACUUCAAGCCCGCGACGCGGAAACCAGAACCGCCCGCCCUCCACCCGGAUAAAAGCCGAACCCGAGGCACGUGGUCUCGCGCCCUACCUGUGACCUCAGGCGGUGCUCAGGUUCCUUCAGGACGGGUGGUCAACUCAGUCCCAAAGCAGAUGAUCCUCCUUUUGGAUGAAUGGUCAAAAGCCAAAGAGUGCCUUGGUGAUUUUCGUACGGUGGGUAAGCUUGUACUACCUGUACUGGCGAACUGACUAGAGUCUAGAGAAGAGGAAAUGAGUGGACGUGGAGCCUGGGAAGUAAGAUGCCAAAACAUCUUAGAAGUUGGCUUUGAUUCACCUGCAGGUGCGAAGAGUUGAAUUUGGCUUUUUGUCCCAGGAUUAUGGAAGAGAGACAGAGAGAGUGGGAUGUGGUACUUAGAAGACCUGAAAGAGAACAGUUGAUGGAGUCUGGACUUUAAGAAAGAGUGUUACGGUGUCUUUUAGGAACUUAAAAGCUCAAAGACCUUUGUUUAUUAUACUGGCGGAAAGUGGAGAGUACCUGGACCUGCUUUUCCAUUGGAAUGGCUUAAGGAUAAACUGGAGGUGGAGAUUCUAGUCUUCAUCUUGAUGUCAAGGAGAAUUUCUGAGAAAGAAUGUCGUCAUUGCUGUGACUUCAAUAGAGAUCACAAUAUCAGAAGCCUAUCAUAUUCAGGAAGCUGUAUGCUCCAGAAAUGUGUGGCAUCUGCCAAAGGGACAUCCCAUGCCUUGACUCUUGGCAUCCACUACUGUUCCUCAAAAUGAUGAGUGUUUGGGGUAAUUUUCUUCCUUAUGGCCAGACAUAGACUAUUUCUCAUGGUAUGCACUUGGAUGAGAAGUAGCAUCGUGGGAUGGUUUAGAGAGUCCAUUGAUCAGAACUAGGCUGCCUCAGUUUGCCUAUGUGAACUGAAUAUUUGCAGUGAAAUUUAAGCCUCUUAAAGACCUGGUUUCUUACUACCUUCUCAGCCUCAAUUCCAACUACUCUGCUCAUCCUCUGCCAUCUGGUAAUGUGAAACCUAGUUCCAAUGUUGUAGCAAUUGAGGUGAAGGGUAAGCAAUGGUGAUUAAAGCAAAGAGACACAAAUAAGUGCAUUUCUUCUGUAACUCUCCAGCUAGCCUAUGCGGGUGAGGCCACUGUGCUCCAUGAAGUCAUCCAGGGAUCCAGGUUCCUUCCUUCAUUUAUUUGCUUUGCCAUUCAUUAGACAUCAGACUCUGCCAUUCACUAGACAUCAGACUCUGCCACAUGGUCCAAGCUGAGAUGCAAAUCAUCUGAUUUUUAGCAAGAGGGAAAAAGAGAUGAAGUCUUUUGCUCAAGAGGAGAAACUGCACAAGUCACUGUUGCUAACCCUGCCACUCAUAGCGGCAAGGGAGACUGGAACUUGUGACAGAUUUGGGGGUACAAUCAGCCACUCAUUUUAUGGAAGACUCAGAUUGCCUAAAUACAGAGCAAUUACUUUAUUUUUUGUACCUUGAACAUAACAAUGCACUUACCAAUAUAUUAUAUAUUUCAAUGUCUGCCUCUAAUAAGAGACUGCAAAAUCCUCAAAAUGAAGGUAAGGUCUUUUCAUUUAUGUAGGGCCUAAACCUUACACAUGGUUGCACAUGGUUACUGAGCUGAUUUGAAUAGUUUGCAUUGUUGUGACAGGUAUUUGGGUACAGAGAUUAUAACAACUGCAUUUUAUAGAUGGGGGGCAGGGAAUCCUGAGGCUCUAACAACAUCAAAUGACAUUUACAAAAUCAAGUUCAUGAUGAAACUAUUAGAGCGAACUUUUUUUAUUUCUGGUUCAAUUUUAUUAAAGCAAGGCAAGCAAUGUCGUGGGUCUGCUCUGGCAUGGAAAUCAUUAAUUUAAAAACUAGACACUAGUCAUUUGAAUGAUACUGUGUUUAUUGUGUGUGGAUUCUUUUUAAUGUCAACAUCUGAAGGCAGCCUUCUGCAUCCCCUAAGAGUUAUUUUUAAAAGAGAGAAAACAGUGGCACCUGUGGCUCAGUCAGUUAAG